AACAAAUAAAACAGAACGUAGACAGUGACUAUAUGAGAAUUAUAUGUAUGU
rnacentral:guide_RNA from 1 species